UACGGAGGGUGCAAGCGUUGUCCGGAUUUAUUGGGUUUAAAGGGUGCGUAGGCGGCUUAUUAAGUCAGGGGUGAAAGACUGCAGCUCAACUGUAGCAGUGCCUUUGAUACUGAUGAGCUUGAGUACAGAUGAGGCUGGCGGAAUGGGUGGUGUAGCGGUGAAAUGCAUAGAUACCAUCCAGAACACCGAUUGCGAAGGCAGCCGGCUAAACUGUAACUGACGCUGAGGCACGAAAGCGUGGGUAGCAAACAGG
rnacentral:rRNA from 1 species